rnacentral:rRNA from 1 species
AGCUCCAAUAGCGUAUAUUAAAGUUGUUGCAGUUAAAAAGCUCGUAGUCGAAUUUCUGUCUAUUAACGGCUGGCUGAUUAUUCAGCUUGGCAGUUGUAGGCAUCCUUCUAAGUCUCCUUUACGGGAGUCGCUUAGAGCCUUUACUUUGAGAAAAUUAGAGCGUUCCAAGCAAGCGAUUGCUUUGAAUACUACAGCAUGGAAUAAUAUUAUAGGACUUUUUACCUAUUUGUUGGUUUAGGUUGGAAGUAAUGAUUAAUAGGGACAGUUGGGGGCAUUCGUAUUUGACAGUCAGAGGUGAAAUUCUUGGAUUUGUCAAAGACGAACUACUGCGAAAGCAUUUGCCAAGGAUGUUCUCA